AUUUUAUACUCUUGAUAUCUUUGUGAAAUGUGGAAGAGGUCUGAAUUCUCCUUGCAGAUAAGGAAAUGAAAAAACAACAUGAAAUAUAAUUUGGCUGGUCAGAAUCAAGCCAAAGUUUUCUGUAUAGGUUUUCUUUAUCUUAUACAUGUAUAUAAAUGCAUAGAUUAAGGCAAUAGGAACCUGAAACUGUGGCAUAUAAUAAUACUACAGAAUAUAGUCUCCUUUUUCCCUUUUUUGAUGAAGCCUAUCAGUUUUUUUGGUGUGUGUAUUAUUGGCCCAUAACACUUUAGUAACACUUUGCUGAGUCUUCUUGUUAUAAAACAUUCAAAUUCUGAAAAAUGAGUAAUCUCAGAGAAAUAUAAUUUAGUGAUAGAAUUAAGUAGAUAUCAGAAGUAUCUAUGGAAGAAGGUUAAAAUAGGUGAAUUAAUGUUAACAGGUAACAUGCUGUAAUCAUGUAGUACCUAUUAAAAUAGAAACGUUUCUUCUGAUAUUAUAAUAAACAGUUAAUGG
rnacentral:lncRNA from 1 species